UCCACGCCGUAAACGAUGAAUACUAGGUGUCGGGCGUCAAAACUCGGUGCCGCAGCUAACGCAUUAAGUAUUCCGCCUGGGGAGUACGCACGCAAGUGUGAAACUCAAAGGAAUUGACGGGGACCCGCACAAGCAGCGGAGCAUGUGGUUUAAUUCGAUGCAACGCGAAAAACCUUACCCACCUUUGACAUGUACGGAAUCCUUUAGAGAUAGAGGAGUGCUCGAAAGAGAACCGUAACACAGGUGCUGCAUG
rnacentral:rRNA from 1 species